CCUGCCUUAAGGGGCAGAGGGCUUGAAAUACAUCGCCGAUUUAAAACAAGGAUUUGGGCUGCUGCUUCCAAUCUGCUCCUUGUGUUUGAGCAGCUUCACAGUUGAUGUAGCAACGAAUGCAUCACCCUGGUCUUUGCUUCAGGGCUGAAGAGAACGUGCUUUGAAACAUGGAUGUCUGCUGUCCUCAGGAAGCUGUACAGCAUCUCUCUGUCAGGCCAAGAACAUUAUCCAGAGUGCUUGCUGUGUUCUUUGUCCAGCCUGAGGAUCUGUUGGAAAGUCUGGAAGCUUCUGCCAUGUCUGGAUCAGUUUGAAAGAGACUAAUCCAGAAGACAGGAACAGCUCCUAGAGCCCACGCUUGUGCUUAAAGGCAUGUGCAUAGCACAGAGCUUCCUAGACUGAUUUUAGUUACAGAAUAGUUCAUAAAUGGGUAAUGACACUGGGUGUGAUGUGUUCUAAUGAAAGGCUUCUCAGGAUUACAGAGGGGGAGUUGAAAAGCUGGUAUCUCAGAUAUUUGAAACAAAUAUUCUCCUUUCUUU